UAGUAGGCGGUGGAAAAUGAACCAAAUGGGAUUCCUUAAGUAAUUGCGAAUGAACAAGGAAAUGCUCAGCUUGAAAAUUGGGGCCUUUGGCUUUGAAUUGUAAUUUUGAAAUGUAUUGCCAAUGGAGGCGCAGGUGCAAGCCUAUUGAAAGAAAGCGUCAAUGAGGGUGAGAUUCCUUUUUGUCAUUUGCAGUCCUCCGUGCACGGUAUAUAUUUGACGAGUCACACUCCUCGGCAUUGGAAUGCAAAGUGGGUGGUAAAUUCCAUGUAAAGGUAAAUAUAUUAUUGAGACUGAUAGCAAACAAGUACCAUGAGGGAAAUAUGAAAAGGACUUUGAAAAGAGAAUUAAAAGAGUCUGCAUUUGCUGAACAGAAAGCAAACAGAAUUGAUCUUCCUUGGUGAGAUUGUUGUGUCCACUCUUGCAUCUUUAUGUUGGAUGUGGGUGCGAUGGUUCUUGCCUUGAAUGUCAGCUUCCAUUUCUGCAAAUCAUUAUCCUUGCACAUGAAUGGUAAUUUGCCUGCGGGUAUUGGAAUGCGUGUGUUUGCAAUGAUUUGUGAUUUGAUACAUGUGUCUGGUGUAUCUGUGCGUGCUACCUUGCUAAAGGGGAAGGCUUUCAUCCCUGAGCACACAAGCACUUGCAC
rnacentral:rRNA from 1 species